UGCUGUGGGAGCACCUCACGGUCACUCCUGUGCCUUCCUUGCCCUCAGUGGGGAAGGCUGCUACCUCUGAGGGCAGGAAUGCCUCACCCCUCUCAGUAUUCCUGACCUAGCUCCUCCUUCACCUCUCUGAAAAAGCCUUCCUCUUCACCUGGCAGACUCCUAUUCAUCCGCCAAAGCCCAGCUCCCAGAUCCCCUCCUCUGGGAAGCAUCCCUUCACCCCUCAGGCACCAUCCUCACUCCCUCCUCUGGGUUGAGACUCUCUUUGCCUGUUUCCCUCUCCGGCCUGAUUGCUCCCUGAGGACGGGGACCUGGUUGAUUCUACACCACAGACACACCCAGCAGAGGUUUGAUUUGCACAUGGGCCUGGAGAAGUGUUUGCUCAAUGAAUGAAUGAGUGAAUGAAUGCCGAUUUCCCAUAUCCUCCUGCUACUCACUCUCUAUCCUCUCUCCCAUGCUCCCUUUCCCUUCCUUCAUACCACUUACCCAUAUUUGGAAAUGUCUCAUUUAUUUAUUUCUAACUUGUUUAUGAUGUCUAUCUCUCUCCACCGAGUUCUCAGCUCUGUGAGGACAAGGGCCUGGCUUUCUCACUCACUGCUGUAUCUCCAGCACCUAGUGCCUGGCACGUAAUAGGUGUUCAAGAAACGUGUUGAAUGAAUGGAGAUGCCCUGGGACCACUCAUCAUGAUCUCAUCUUCCGUUUGGCGACUGUCAAGUAGCACUUGCUGCCCAGGCAAUAACGCCACAGGCCCUGGUGGGCGAAGGCCCCCGACAGCCGGUACUGCAUCCAGUGGUCUGUCGCCGUGGCCACCACCAGGAGGAUGGUCCCCACCCAGGCGCAGAAGAGGCCACCACCCAUGAAGCUGUACAUGGUGAUCUGUGGAAUCCAAGGCAGGAUCCCACUGAGUCAUCACAUCCCCUCAGUCGCCUCUGUUCUGCAGCAGUUUCUCAGUCUUUCCUUGUUUUUCACAACUUUGACAGCUUUGAGGACUACUGGUCAGUUUCUUCUUUUUAACAAACUAGAGGUCUAUUUUAAUGAAUAAUUCCAAUUUAUUUAGUCCUCAUUUCACAGAGGUUCAAACUGUGCCUCAGAGAGGCUAAGUAAGAUACUCAAGGUCACAGAGCUAGUCAGUAGCACGACUGGGAUUUGAACCCUGGCUCCAGAGUCUGUGAUUAAUGGAGACACAAGUAGGAGGCAGACUGUAUAGUACCUUCUAGGCUGACUUUGGAAUUUUUUUUUUUUUAAUUCUGGAACAUUGAGAUGACUUUGAACAUUUGUAAGCAGAAGUGUGACAUAAUUUAUGUUUUAAGAAGAGCACUGUGCCUGCAGCUUGGAGAGUGGGUUGUGGUGGAACGCAAGAGUGGAAGCAGGAAGCCUAGGGAGAAAGCUGCCAUCCUCCAGGCAUGGGUGGUGACGGCUCCAAGGAGGGUGGGGGUAGUGGGGAUGGGAAGAUGUGAAUAGAUUUAAGAUGUAUUUUGGAGGGAGAACCAUCAGGAUUUGCUGCGGGGCUGCUGGACGUGAGUGAUGGGGAAUCAAGGGUGAUGCAAAGUUCUCAACCUGAGCGGCGCCUUUGAAUAUGAAUUUUCUUACAAGAACUUCACAACAUCCCACUUUGAGGAUGAGAAAUCCGAGACUAGCUUUCGAGUUCUGUGCUGGAUGAUGCUGGUGACGCCGAGAUGACGCAGAACCGCUACCUGCUCUCGAAGGGCUCUCAGUCUUGAGAGGUGGGGGACAGACACGGAGAUGGACAGUAACAUUCUGGGGUGAUGGGAGCCGGGACACAGGGAGGAACAGGACAGUGAGAGCCGGAAGCGGAUUAAACGUUGCCUGGAGGCAAGGAGGUGGAGGGGGAGGUCGGGGGCCAGGAAAACAUUGUUGCUAGCUUGCAAGGCGUGGGGGAGAAGGUCGGAGAGGUUUUUGGGUUUUUUGGGUUUUGUUUUGUUUUGUUUUAGAGGAGGUGGCCUUUGGGCUAGGUCUAGGGUGAAUGGGUAUUUGAUGUAGAAGAAACGGCGCGAGCAAAGGCUAGGUGGCUGGAAUCUAAAGAUUUUUACCAAGAAGGCUGGCUUUCCUUUCCUAGCGCCUAUGAUUAGCAUGCAGGUCUCAUCCAUCCGGUUAGGAAGCUUAUGUCGAACAGGGCUCCGAAAUAAGGGUUCGAAUCCUCGUUCCGCUUCUUACUAACUCUUGACCUAAAGUAAGCUAAGUCUCUGGAUUUUUGCGACAUAAAACUCAAUUCCAGCGUAACGGCACUGCUUCUGGUUUUGUUCUGUUACUGUCCCUCCUGUUUCUGCGGUCAGGGUCCGACCUCGCCACUUACCAUGUACCUGGCCCUUUAAGGCCCUCCUCCCCGAGCUGGGAGAGCGGAGGCGUGUUCUUGCGCUUCUAAGGAAAUGCCCUUUACCCAGCUUUCAAAAUUGACAGGCAAGUUCUGAAAAGUGACCAAUCAAUUCCUGCGUCGGGAGGGCACGAAGGUUCCGAUUUGUUGGGGAACGCCUGCAGCAAUAGGUUUGAGCUCCGCCCACUCCUUGUUACGUUUAACAGCGCGAGACGUAAUCCUCAGCUCUGAUUGGGGGGAAGCUCACGUUGCUUCCGCGUCUCCUCCCUCCGUCCGUCAAAUCCGGGGGUGGAGGGCUAGCACCCUCGCUUUUUGAUUGGCUACGUUUCUGAGCGCGAUUCUCUCUCUCUCGCCCUCUGAUUGGCUGUUCCUUUUCCGCGCCUUCUCCGGGCUGUAACUAUUUUGCCCCGGCCUUUAGCAGAGUCCCUUGUCUGAUCUCCGGCACGGUGGCAGCGUCCGCGUCCGGGGAGACCCAGUCUAGGCCUAGCGAUGCUGAGCGAAGCUUGGAGGGGAGAGGGGUCCUCAGGCUGAGGGGAGUCCCGUACAGAGGUCUUCUUGGCCCACUAGGGAGCCUCAUUGCCCCUUACCAGUCUUAGGACCAGUCUCUUCCUUUCACUGACCCCUACAGGACUCGGACUGUCAAAGUCCCAAGAUUAGAUCUUCAGGGCCUUCCCAGCCCACAGGGCUCACGGAUUCCCUUAAGUCCCCAUCCCACCCCCACCCCCACCCCCGCCUUCCGUCCCCCUGCAGGAGGUCCCUGGGGGCCCUGCUCUCUCCCUUGAGCCUUACCCACUCGUUCAACUUCUCCAACUUAGGGGCCCUUCCAGUCUUGGGGUUUUUCCACUACCCCAGAAAAUGGCCGGGAUGCUCGGCAAGAAGUUACUGGCGUUGAGAGAUUCGUGGGCUGAGGAGUAAAGACAUCCCCUCCACCCCAACUCCCCCACCACGGUCUUAGAAAGGAAAAAAAGGAUCAACAGAGGCCAGCUUCAUGGACACAGCCUGACCACUCCUUCCUGCUGAGAUGAGGUGACCAGCUAGCCUCUCUUUAUAUCUGAGAUGACUGACCAUCCUCACGUUCUGCCCUGAGUUUUGGGUCCUUUUCACUCAAGAGCGCCACUUCAGGAGGGAUUGUGAAAAAGCAGGGAGAGCAGUGGUUUUGGAGUCAGCCAUGGGUGGGACCCCUGAUAUUGUCGAUUUCUCCUGUGUGUCUUUAGAUAAGUUAAUUCACCUCUCUGAGUCUCAGAUAUCUUCCCAAUGGAGAUACUCUUAAAUCUUACAGCACAGUUGGCUCACAAUGUGAUACAUAGCAGGUGUUCAAAAAUAUUAAUUUCCUCCCUCUUACUAUUAAACUGCCACUCAAGUCCCCUCGCCCUACAAGUCCUCACCCUAGAAACCUUCCAUCUAGUCACAGAGCUAGCCAGUGUCACCUUGGCUACUCUUGAACUCUCUCUGGACCUCCGCUUCUGUUUGCUCUUCUGUACAAAUAAGUGGGUGAGUUUACAUUACAUGAAAAUUCCACAAACUUCUCCUAAACCGAAGGCUAGCUAUCUUAGGCUUAGCAGGGCAACAACUCCACUCUGCCUGAAAUCAGCCAUAGGCGAUACAGAAAAAAAUGGGCAUGGCUGCACUCCAAUAAAGUUUUAUUUAUGGA